rfam:Ictidomys tridecemlineatus contig052480, whole genome shotgun sequence.
UGGGGUGUGGCUCAGUGGUAGCGCAUUUGUCUGGCAUGUAUGAGGCCCUGGGUUCAAUUCUCAGCACUGCAU